rnacentral:tRNA from 1 species
UGGGGUGUGGCGAAGCGGUUUAACGCACCGGUUUUUGGUACCGGCAUUCCUAGGUUCGAAUCCUAGCACCCCAGCCA